rnacentral:rRNA from 1 species
UACGUAGGGUGCAAGCGUUGUCCGGAAUUAUUGGGCGUAAAGAGCUCGUAGGCGGUUUGUUGCGUCGGCUGUGAAAUCCCGAGGCUCAACCUCGGGUCUGCAGUCGAUACGAGCAAACUAGAGUGUUGCAGGGGAGACUGGAAUUCCUGGUGUAGCGGUGAAAUGCGCAGAUAUCAGGAGGAACACCGGUGGCGAAGGCGCCGCUCUGGGCCGAUACUGACGCUGAGGAGCGAAAGCGUGGGGAGCAAACAGG